UACGUAGGGUGCAAGCGUUAAUCGGAAUUACUGGGCGUAAAGCGUGCGCAGGCGGUUUGGUAAGACAGAUGUGAGAUCCCCGGGCUUAACCUGGGAAUUGCAUUUGUGACUGCCCGGCUAGAGUGUGUCAGAGGGGGGUAGAAUUCCACGUGUAGCAGUGAAAUGCGUAGAGAUGUGGAGGAAUACCGAUGGCGAAGGCAAUCCCCUGGGCCUGCACUGACGCUCAUGCACGAAAGCGUGGGGAGCAAACAGG
rnacentral:rRNA from 1 species